AAAUUAAAACGUGCAGAUGUUUAGUUAUUUUCAUUUCUACGUUCCGUCCCACAGACGGCUGUAUUCAUACUAUUAAAUCUUUUCAUUUUAAAUGUCUUUAUAAAAAAAAAAAAAAAAAAUGUCUUAACAUUAUCUGCGACCUUGAUUUUGCUUUUUUUUUCUUUCUUUCUUUUUUUCUUUUUAAAAAAAAAAAUCUACAUAAUCUAUUAAUAUAUGGUUUGACCUGUAUGAUUUAAGAUUUUUAUUUUUUUUGUUGUUCAUUAAUCAACCUGUUUAAUCAAACACCGAUGUAUUUUGCCGACUUCUAGUCGUCUUUCGAGUCGUCUGUCUCAAAUCCCAGAGGCCAAGAUGUUUAAGGCUGUUGUCGGUGUGAUUGUGUCGACGAUCUGAACCCAAGCAGGAGAAUCAUAACGUGUGGUGAAAAGAAAACGCUGCCGAGUCGAACGAUAUUUCAUGCUAGGACCUUUCCGGACUCCCGCUGAGGGGGCGAACAUUUCUCACAAUCUUCCUCGUCGAGAGGUUUGUGCAGAAGCGUAAGAAGCGUGAUUCUGAUGUGCUGGUGUCAAACACACAUGGUGAAGCUGUAAUAUCCUGUAUUACCCUCAGAAGUCCUAGUGUGUGUGUGUGUGUGUGUGUGUUGUGUUUUGUGUCAGGAAAUCAAACAGGGAUCCUUGAUUCAUUAGUUCUACCUCGUCUUCUAUCCAUCAGGCGUUCAAACACUGGACUCUUACGCUGUCUAGUUGUGUGCUGAAAAAUCCCUGACAGUGACUGAAGAUUUAUCCCUGAAUGUUUAGUCGUGGUUCUUCAGUCCUAAAUCAUUUCAGUUAAGGCCUGUUUCACUAUGUUUAUAUUCUUUCGAUGGUGCAUUGAACCAGAAACGCCAUCUAGUGGUCGAACCCGAUGACAUUUUGUUCCUGCUGGAUAAUCAUAAGCGUGUAGGUGUCUGUCCUUUGCAUGUGUGGGUUUUUUUUUUUUUUUUUUUUUUUCGCCCGUUAGCCAGUUUGCACGCACGACAUGCUUUAGCUGUUUGAUUUUGGACCUUCAUUCACUGAGCAGAACUUCAGAUCAGUAAUCGCUGUCACUGCACAUUCGGUUAAUGUGAAUGCUGGCUUUCGUCCAUCAUGCUGUUUAGUAUACACAGAGUAGAUGUGUGCAUCGGGACUGGAAACCCACGGAACCCAACAAAAGUCAUACAUUUUUUUUUUACGCUCUUUACUGCAGAAGGUUGGGGAAUACAGUAGAACCAAAUAAUUUCAACAAAAAAAAUAUAUUGCGGGCAUUAACGUAAAAAAAAUUUAAAAUAAUAAUAAUAACUGCAAGACCUGAAGAGAUUAGUCAAUAUUUCUGUAGGAGUAGACGGGUUGGUCAAACUUUAUGCAGUAGUGUUGGGAUUAGUCAAAAUUUCUGCAUUGGACAAAGUUUCUGCAAGAGCAGGAGAGAUUACUGUGGGAACAGGCGGGGUCUGAUUAAACAUUCUGUUUCUAUGGGAGUUGGAAGAAUCAAUCAAACUUUCUUCACGAGUGGAUGGGAUUGGUCGACCUUUCUGCAAGAGCAGGAGGGACUACAGUAGGAACAGGCGGGGUUAGUCAGAAUUUCUGCAGGAGCAGACUAGGAAAGUUGGUCAGGUUUUCUGAGGGCGUGGACAGGAUUGGUCAGACUUUCUGCAGGAGCAGCUGGUAUGGUUAGACUUUCUGCAGGAUUGGACAGGAUUGGUCAGACUUUCUGCAGGAGAAAGUGGGAUUGGUCAGACUUUCUGCAGGAUUGGUCAGACUUUCUGCAGGAGACGAUGGGAUGGGUCAGACUUUUCUGCAGGAGACGAUGGGAUUGGUCAGACUUUCUGCAGGAGACGAUGGAUUGGUCCAGACUUUCUGCAGGAGACGAUGGGAUUGGUCAGACUUUCUGCAGGAGACGAUGGGAUUGGUCAGACUUUCUGCAGGAGAAGAGGGGAUUGGUCAGACUUUCUGCAGGAUACGAUGGA
ensembl:lncRNA